GCCUCAGAACUGCCCGGAGAGGAGCCGCCCUGGAUGGACAGAGGGACGGAGGGACGAGCAUCCAGCCAGUCGUGUCCCAGCUGCCCUGCAGCGGUCUCCAACGCCCGCUGCUGCCCGCCCGCCUGCCCGCCUGCCCGCCUGCCUGGCAUCUCACUCCCGAGGAACAGAGAGACCAACCUGCUGCGAGAUAGAAUCUUAACAAGUCCAGCCAACAGUGUGAGAAGGCGCACACACCAGGCCCAUCGCUUCAUCCUCAAACGCAAGGGUGGUUUGACAUUUGGAAACCUGUCAAUGAACUCUGUGUGGACAGAUUCAGGCAGAGAAGUCAUGUGACCAACUCAACCCUGAGCAGAAACCUCCGCAUCUGCACAUGAUGAAAAUGGCCUGGCACAUGAAUGGGAAGGCUCAGCACGAAGCCCGAACCGAGAGCUCUUAAAGGCUCCGUGGACACGCGCAUGUGCACACACACAUACACACACACACACACACACACACACAAGACCUAGUGACCCUGAUUCUGCUCUGAGCUGGGAACGACACUACUGCCUGGGUUGUGACCAAGUUCUCUAGCUACAUGAGAUACAUGCCUGUGGGAAACUUGGAAAAGGCCCUGGGUCCUAUCUACCAGUUUUGUGACUUCCUGUGACUCUGUAAUGAUGUGAGAAUAAAGACCUAGACAGAAAAUAUUAUUGAGGAGCGGGAAGAUAGCUCAGGGGUAAAGCACCUGCCUAGCAUGCAUGCGGCCCUGGGUUCAAUCCCCAUCACCAUAAAAAAUAAACAACAGCAGCUAAAAAUGUUGUUGGAAAACAUU
rnacentral:lncRNA from 1 species